CACACACAUACACAGCAGUGUAUGUAUGUAUGUGUGUAUAUAUAUGUAUGUAUAUAUAUAUAUAUAUAUAUAUAUAUAUAUGUAUACACAUACAUACAUAUACACACGGCGUGUGUUUGUGCUUU